UACAGAGGGUGCGAGCGUUGUCCGGAAUCACUGGGCGUAAAGGGCGUGUAGGUGGCUAGGUAAGCCGCGUGUGAAAUCCCGGGGCUCAACCCCGGAACGGCACGCGGGACUGUCUGGCUCGAGCAUGGUAGAGGCGAGUGGAAUUCCUGGUGUAGCGGUGGAAUGCGUAGAGAUCAGGAAGAACACCGGUGGCGAAGGCGGCUCGCUGGGCCAUUGCUGACACUGAGGCGCGAAAGCGUGGGGAGCAAACAGG
rnacentral:rRNA from 1 species